rnacentral:rRNA from 1 species
GUGGGGAAUAUUCCGCAAUGGACGAAAGUCUGACGGAGCAACGCCGCGUGAGUGAUGAAGGUUUUCGGACUGUAAAGCUCUGUUGUUUAGGACGAAAGUGCCUGUUGCAAAUAGUUACAGGUAUUGACGGUACUGAACGAGGAAGCCACGGCUAACUACGUGCCAGCAGCCGCGGUAAUACGUAGGUGGCAAGCGUUGUCCGGAAUUAUUGGGCGUAAAGAGCAUGUAGGCGGGAAUCUAAGUCUGUUGUGAAAAUGCGGGGCUCAACCCCGUAUUGCGAUGGAAACUGGGUUUCUUGAGUGCAGGAGAGGAAAGGGGAAUUCCCAGUGUAGCGGUGAAAUGCGUAGAUAUGGGGAGGAACACCAGUGGCGAAGGCGGCUUUCUGGACGGUGUCUGACACUGAGGCGCGAAAGCUAGGGGAGCGAACGGGAUUAGAAACCCUUGUAGUCC